GACGAACGCUGGCGGCGUGCUUAACACAUGCGAGUCGAACGGAAAGACCCUGCUUUUGUGGGGUGCUCGAGUGGCGAACGGGUGAGUAACACGUGAGUAACCUGCCCUUGACUUUGGGAUAACUUCAGGAAACUGGGGCUAAUACCGGAUAGGAGCUCCUGCUGCAUGGUGGGGUUGGAAAGUUUCGGCGGUUGGGGAUGGACUCGCGGCUUAUCAGCUUGUUGGUGGGGUAGUGGCUUACCAAGGCUUUGACGGGUAGCCGGCCUGAGAGGGUGACCGGCCACAUUGGGACUGAGAUACGGCCCAGACUCCUACGGGAGGCAGCAGUGGGGAAUAUUGCACAAUGGGCGGAAGCCUGAUGCAGCAACGCCGCGUGCGGGAUGACGGCCUUCGGGUUGUAAACCGCUUUCGCCUGUGACGAAGCGUGAGUGACGGUAAUGGGUAAAGAAGCACCGGCUAACUACGUG
rnacentral:rRNA from 1 species